UACGGGGGAGCAAGCGUUGUUCGGAUUUACUGGGCGUAAAGGGCGCGUAGGCGGCCACCGCAAGUCAGUUGUGAAAUCUCUGGGCUUAACCCAGAAAGGUCAACUGAUACUGCGGGGCUAGAGUGCAGAAGGGGCAACUGGAAUUCUCAGUGUAGCGGUGAAAUGCGUAGAUAUCGAGAGGAACACCUGCGGCGAAGGCGGGUUGCUGGGCUGACACUGACGCUGAUGCGCGAAAGCUAGGGGAGCGAACGGG
rnacentral:rRNA from 1 species